CUUAACUGAGUAUGUUUUCCUUUUUAAAAAUUUUGUCUGUGUUGCUUGGUUAUGUCUGCUGGUGAGGUGGUUCAUAAACAGUAGAGUCACAAAGAUUUGGGAAGGAAAAAGAAAUCCAGUUAACCCUCUGCCACAUUCAAAUAUGAAUGGUGUCUCAAAAAUUCUUAAGGUCUUUGAAGAGCUUUCUCUAUUUAGGUUAAGAA
rnacentral:lncRNA from 1 species